rnacentral:snoRNA from 1 species
AAGAUUAUAUUUUCAGGAAUCGUUUCUAUAGUUUGUUACUAGAGAAGUUUCUGUGAAUGUGUAAAGCAUGAAAAACCACAAGGAGACACAGGGUCUGCUCCUGGCUGAAAAGCCAGCUCUUGGUAUUGCUCUGCUGCAACUGUUAUUUGCCAUUGAUAAUCAUUCUUAUCUUCCUCUGGGAGAGUAAGAAGGGGAGACUGCAGUCUGAGUGGU